UAUUUUCCCAUUUGUUUCCAUUUUCCUCUUUUGCUGCUUUCUUUUCUUAUUUGGUACUCUAUUGUUGUGAAUUAUAGGUGCCCUGUGCUUUCCAGACCUUGAGUCAGAGAGUCUGCUGAGCAGUCAUCAAGGGUCCCCUUCCCUGAAUCAUGGCAUGGAACUCUUUUAAGGCCUUUGAGUGUUCACACCUGAGACCAGACACAAGUGAACUCAUCUGUCUGUUUCCAGAAGACUUUGCUAACUCCUGGAAGCUCAUCAAGGGCUGAGCCACAUGCCAGGUGCAGUGGCUCACACCUGCAGUUCCAGCAUUUUUGGGCACCGAGGUGGGAGGAUUGCUUGAGCCCAGGAGUUCAAGACCAGCCUGGACAACAAAGAAAAACUGCAUCUCUACAAAAAAUACAAAAAUUUGCAGUGUGUGGUUGUUUGCAUCUGCAGUUCAGGGACUUGGGAGGCUGACGAGGGAGGAUCACUUUAGUCCAGGAGGUUGAGGCGGCAGUGAGAUGUAAGUGCGCCACUGCAUUUCAGCCUAGGCAACAAAAUGAGACCAUGACUUAAAAAAUAAAUAAAUAAAUAAAUAAAUACAAAA